rnacentral:rRNA from 1 species
AUUGAACGCUGGCGGCAUGCUUUACACAUGCAAGUCGAACGGCAGCGCGGGCUUCGGCCUGGCGGCGAGUGGCGAACGGGUGAGUAAUACAUCGGAACGUGCCCAGUAGUGGGGGAUAGCACGGCGAAAGCCGGAGUAAUACCGCAUACGACCUGAGGGUGAAAGCGGGGGAUCUUCGGACCUCGCGCUAUUGGAGCGGCCGAUGGCAGAUUAGCUAGUUGGUGGGGUAAAGGCCUACCAAGGCGACGAUCUGUAGCUGGUCUGAGAGGACGACCAGCCACACUGGGACUGAGACACGGCCCAGACUCCUACGGGAGGCAGCAGUGGGGAAUUUUGGACAAUGGGCGAAAGCCUGAUCCAGCAAUGCCGCGUGUGUGAUGAAGGCCUUCGGGUUGUAAAGCACUUUUGGCGGGAACGAAAAGGACUGUGCCAAUACCACGGUUCGAUGACGGUACCCGCAGAAUAAGCACCGGCUAACUACGUG